rnacentral:rRNA from 1 species
GACAGAGGGGGCAAGCGUUGCUCGGAAUUACUGGGCGUAAAGGGCUCGUAGGCGGCCAACUAAGUCAGACGUGAAAUCCCUCGGCUUAACCGGGGAACUGCGUCUGAUACUGGUUGGCUUGAAUCCGGGAGAGGGAUGUGGAAUUCCAGGUGUAGCGGUGAAAUGCGUAGAUAUCUGGAGGAACACCGGUGGCGAAGGCGGCAUCCUGGACCGGUAUUGACGCUGAGGAGCGAAAGCCAGGGGAGCAAACGGG